rnacentral:lncRNA from 1 species
AAAGGAAGAAAAGAAGACACAAACCCUAGGUGGAAAAAUUCAAGGGAAAAGUGUGAAAAUUCAAGUAAUCAAGCAAUCAAAGGUAAAAUUUCUUGAUUUUGACUUGUGAUAUACCUUUCCCAUGCAUUAUUUUGCAUUUUCCAUGGUUGAAUCACAAGAUAUCAUGAAGGAUUCAUGGCUGACCGAAUUUAGAGAGAGAAGAUUUGAUGAUUUAUUUGGUUAGAUUUUGAGAUAUUUUAGUGUUUAUAGUUGAUUUAUCAUGUUUGGAAGGAAAACAAGUAUGAAAAAUCACGUGUUCUUCAUGGAUUCUUCAUUGGCUAAAUUUUCCAUGUAGAGUGUGGAUGAUAAUUUUGAUUUUAUUUCAAGUGAAUUGGUUAGAAAAUGAUGAAUUAUGGUGAGAGAAUCAAGUAGGAAAAAUCAUAGUAUUGAUGCACCCACCAUGGCCGAAUUUUCCAAGAGAAAAUGUGAAAAUGAUUUUGCUAGAUUUUAUGCUAUUUGACUUGUGUUUGAUGAUUUGGAGUAUUAGGAGAAAAAUAAAAUUAUUUGGAGUUAAAUUGGACAUAUUGGCCAAUUAAUCGAGUGAUAGAUCGAAUUGGGCCAAUACCGUUUUAUUUAGGUACACAAUUGAAUGUGUGUAGAGCACCGUGUUUAGACGAUAAUCCGAACAAUUUGCAUCCCAUUUCAUACAUUAGUAUAAAGCCUGAAUUGGUUUUAUAACAAUUUAGCACAAUGUAGUAAAUGGCUUAUUGUGCAUUAUGUCUAGGUGGUGAGCAUUCCGGCAAAAGUAAAAAGAUAGUACCCAAUGAUCAAGAAUCGGUGUACUUGGGAUUCAACUCCCGAAAUAGUGAGUAACCUUACUAUCGUCUUAAUUAUCUAAAGUGGUUUUUAUCCGAUUUUGUGAUUUUAUGGAAAAUGAGUUUAAAUGGCAAAUCUUUAUGUUUUAUAAGCAAAAUGUGAUUAAAUGAAAUGAUUUUAUAAAAUUGUCUUGAAAUUGAAUGAUGGUUUUGGAAAAUGGAGUAAUUGGAGACUAAUUGCUGUGUUAUAAAUCAUGGUUUGAAAUGAAUGGCUUAUGAUAAUAUUGGCAUGAAUGGUUGAUUUGGUAAAUGUGUUGAAAAUGUAUGAACUGUUUGCCUUGAGAGGCUGUAAAAUAAAAUAAUUGCCAUGUCAUACUGUUAAAUUUUAUUGUAUGGUGGGUUUAGUCGCUGCAGUGGACGGGUUCCAUAGACCAGCCUAUUAGAGGGGCAUAGUAAUCCUAUUAUAUUCAUACCUCAGUGAGAGGUGCAGAUGGAUAACUCCCGAGGUUAACACUUUAGAGUUCGCUUCACGCCCAACCACCACGUGAGGGUGAACUUAGCCAACGCCAAGGAAUGAUUACGUUUUCAAAAUAAAAGCACGAUUUAUGAGUACAUAACUUUUUAACAACCUUGGCAAUCUCGGUUGGGAUAGCCCUCGGUCAAGGUAUCCCUAAUAACUGAGUAUGAGAAUGAUUUUGGCAUGAGCCAAAGUUUUAAGAAAUUCAUAAGCCAUGUUGAUUACUUGAUUUAUAUGAAUUGAUUUUAUUUGGUUGAAAUGAGUUGAAAGGUGAUGAAUUACAGUUUGUUAAAUUAUUUUAUUUGUCUCCAUUUACUUAGCUUUAGAUAUUUUAGAUGGUAUUUGUUUACUCACUGGGAUUAUAUAAUCUCACCACCCUCAUUUUCACCCAUUUCAGGCUCAGGAUAGUCGGUAGAUAGCUCAUUUCGUUGAGGGCUACGGUUGGACUUGCAUCCUCAAAAAUUGUAGGUUCAUAGCCUUCAUUACUUUUGGACGUUCGUGGGCCAAUGUGUCACUAUAAAUUAAAUUUUAUACUUUGGUUAUCUGUAUUACAGUAUGUAUGAAUUUAUUUAGCUUUUACGCUAUAAAAAUUAUUUACCGGUAACUCUAUAAAUAUUGUUUUAUAAGAAAAUAGAAUAUUUUAUUGAAUAUUUUUAUUAUAUUCAAAUAGUUAUAAUUUCACUUUAAAUGAAUGUUUUAGAUAUCUAGACUUAUUUUUGCUUAAGAAAUAUGUGUUUUUCACUUGCAUACAACCUUUUUAGUUGGUUUUGAGAUUUUUGAGGAAAAAUAACCAAAAUGCCCCUGUGAGCGAAAAAUUAUUUUUCUAUUGUUUUGAUUUGGAAAUAGUUUAUAAUUUCUCAAAACAUGAUACUUAGCAACAGUUACUCAUAGGAGAAAUGAGAAACUGAUAUUAAAGCCUUGUGGGGUUUCGAUCGGCAUUCCCGGCGAUGAAUGUCUAUCGAGACAUCGUGACGGUUGUCACGGGCUCGAGGGGAGUACCGGGUCGUGACAUUUUGGCUGAGCCUAGUAAAAGCCAUUGUAAAGCUUGGUGAAAGGUUGUGUAUUUCUCCAGUUCUUAGUGGAUUGGUUGGAAAAUCCUUGGUUAAAUAAUCAAGGUAGUGGAUGUAGGUCUUGGACCAAACCACUCUAAAUUCCUGCGCAUUAUCUACUUUGUUUUUAUUUUCAUUGCUUUUUAAAUUAGUUCCUCAUCUUGCCAAGAGCCAAAAAGUGCUAUUCACCCCCCUCUAGCACAUUUAAUUGGGACCAACACUUAAUCUAUUAAACUUAGUUAAGAGAGAGAGACAAUAUUGCUGAUGUAUUAAUUUUAUUUAUUAGUUUAUUAGUUUCAAAUUUUCUUUCUAAUUUUAAUUGUUUAGAUAAAAUUAGGGUGUGUUAAUUUUAGUAGUUAAUAAUAAGGAUUAAUUCAAUUCUCUGUGGGAUCGACACGCUACUCAUUUUUAUAUUAUCUUUGUGAUAUGUAUACUUGUGUGGUUAGGAAAAUUGAACAACAAGCCCCUUGGUUCAUAUUUACAUAUAACUUAGUCAUAACAUCCACAUAGCCAUGCAUUGACUAAAUACAUUUUGUUCCCCUAAAACCUUUCAUUAAGUAAAAUAUGAGGCAAUGCAGUACCCACAUAAUCUGUUACAUGACAUGCAUUGAAAACAUUUAGUGAAGAAGUGUAAUACAUAACCUUAACUCAGCAGAGUAGGCUCAUCAUAAAAGAAAGUCGACUAGAUCUCAAAAUUUGCUCGUCUAGACAACGACGUUAAGCCACUUGAAAUUUGUUGUAUGUUUAUCUGCACAAUACAAUUGAAAGGUGAGUCAUACUAAUACUUAGUGAGUGGAAGCAUAUAAUCAAUUGCAAAUGUGCAAGGAUAAUUGCUACAUAUAUUCUCUAAAUAUACAUACAUUACAAUAGGCUAAAACUUAUGUAUAGUUAAAAUAGGUCAAGCAUCACAUGUCAUAAUUAUCCUGUCAUCAUCACGGUAGCCAUACUACGCUACUAACAUAUAACUAUUUCUAGCCAAAACUCAUGAUUGUUGCUAAUUUCACAUCAUACUUAUCUUACCUGAAGAACAUUCAUAUUCAUGUUAAGUUUGCGGACACUUCAAGCAUAGUCUAAGCUUGUCUUUGGUCAAUGAACACAUACAACCCUUACCAUUAACCAUUUCAUCAAUUACAUCCUAUAUAUCAUAUCAUAUCGUAUAUCUCAUAAUCGUAAACUAGAAGCAUAAUAUACAUGGUUCAAUCAUCAUUAUCAUAGAGUGGUCCUCUUUGGACAUAACAAAGUCAUGUACGGUGGCCAACCAAUAAACAACAUAUCAUAUCAUAUCAUGCUCGAUAUCAUAGUCACCAGCAAAAAUUAUGUCACACCUAGUGCCGUAGCAACUGGCAAAGUGUCAUAAUCAUCAUUUGGAAUAACAUCAACAGAUGGUAUCAUAGCACUGUAGACUAAAAUCACAACCAAAACUAAACCACCAUCCUUACUUACUUUAACUUUCUUAGCAAUUGACAAAGGAAUAAUUGAAACACCAACACCCAAAUCACACAAAGCUUUAGAGAAUUUAAAUUUGUCAAUAGUACAUGGAUAGAAAAACUUCUUAGAUCUUUAAGCUUCGGUGGAAGCUUGUUUUGAGUUAUCGCAUUGCACUCCUCAGUAAGUGCAAUUGAUUCAAAGUCUUCCAAUUUUGUCUUCUUGGUUAGGAUGUCUUUCAAGAAUUUGACAUAACUUGGCAUGUUUUCCUAAGCUUUAGCAAAAAGAAUGUUUAUGUGGAGCUUCUUGAAGACAUUGAGAAAUUUCUCAAACUAUUUAUCAAGCUAUUGUUUUUGCAACCUUUGUGGGAAUGGUGGUGGAGGAUAAUUUGCUUCAAACUUCACUUAAUUUUUAGCUUCCCCAUCAUAUUUCUUUUUAGCUUCAACUUUUCUCUCAACAAUUAUCUCUUCAUCAUCCACAUGCUUUUUUGAAGAUUCAAUUGAUUUUUCACUCAUCCCUUCAACUUCUUUUCCACUCCUAAGGAUAAUUGAUUUGCAUUGUUCCUUACCUUUAGGAUUGACUUGAGUGUCACUUGGCAAGGCACCUUGGGGUCUAUUAUUAAUGGAACUAGCAAAUUGUCCCAUUUGAAUCUCAAGAUUUCAAAUUGUUGCUACUUGAUUCUGAAUGAUGGCACCAUUCUUUGUCAUAUUGGCAUCAGUCUUUGUCAUGAAUUGCAUGAACAUCUCUUCCAUAAUAGGCUUCUUUUCUAGGACAGAAGGUUUUGCUUGUUGUGGAAAGCCAAGAGGAAAGUUUGGCCUUUGAUUUGAAGGUCUUGGGUUAUUAUUCCAUGAGAAGUUUAGAUGGUUUCUCUAACCAGGAUUAUAAGUAUAAGAGUAUGGGUUAUUUUGUUGCCUGUUGAAGUUCCCAACAAACUGAACUAAUUCAAGAUUAGAUGGACAUUGAUCUUUUAAAUGGCUAUCUCCACACAAAUCACAAGUUAUAAAGGAGUUUUGGAUAGCAUUAACUGCAUCUUUUUGUCAAUGCAGCUACUUGUGAAAUCAAAGCAUUCAGUGCAUCAAUUUCAUAAACAUUAACAUUUUUCAAGAACUAGAUCUUUCGGAAGGCCAUUGGUAAUUAUUGGAUGCCAUCUCUUCCAACAAAUUAUAAGCUUUAUUAGGAUUUUUAUCCAUCAAUGCCCCACUAGCAGCGACUUGCAUGGAUUCGACCUUUUACUCAAAUAUGAAAAUAAUCAAUAAAUUAAAAAUAUAACGCAACAAAAUAAUAAACUAGCAUUUAAUCAGAGAAACAGUCGAAUCCUACGGGAUCAUUGUUUGUGUUUUUCAUGUAAUUUUCAAAUUAAUUAUGAACACUCAUAAGUUUAAGAGUUACAUACCUUGCUCUAGAUAUUAUAGUCAAGAGCCAAUUAAAUCAAAAUCUUUGCUUCUUCACCUUUAGAAUUUGUCAAAUCUUCAGCCAUCCAAGUGUUUGGCCUCUAACAGUAAUCCACACAGUGACUGAAUAAGACUUCUCAGAGGUAGGAUUUUUUUUACUUGUGCUAGCAAGUUUUGUUUCUAAAAUAAAAAGACCAAAAGGUCUUGCUGAAUCUUUGUUUUUUGUCAUACAAAGAAAAUUAUUUUUCUUUUUUUUUAUUUUAUGAAACAGUUGAGAAGUGGAUGGGGGUUUAGAGUUCUAGUUUGCUAAUAUAAUAUAUUUAUAUAGCCAAACUAAGUUGCAACCCUAAAUACAAUAGUUGUAUUUUAAUUUAAUUAAGUCUCUGUGAACUUAAUUAAUUUUCCACUUUCUUUUGGUCUAUUCUAAUUAAGUCCAACUUAAUUAAUUAUCCUUAUUUAAUCCCAAUCAUGUCACUUAAUGUAUGUGACCCAUUACGUUUAUAACAUGUUGGCAAUAAAUAUAAAUCCUAAUCAAAUAUCAAUUUGAUAAUUGAUUUAUAUUUAUAGAUUAUGAGGGGCAUCUAGUUGUACAUCAUGACCACCCAAAUGUUAGAGAGUUAAUUAAAGAAUUUGAUAAAGCCUUUCAGUGAUAAGCCUAUAAGUGCAAUACGGUCUUUUCAUCAAAUAUCCCGGAUAUAUCAUUAAGCAUGGCUCGGUGUCUAUUUAUGACAUUCCAUAUUAGUUCUCAUAAUUCAUGACUAACCUUAUGAAUUUAGGAAACUAACUUUCCUCAAAUUCAUCAUGCUUUGGCCAAAGGCUUUAUACAAGUUAAUUAAGAAUUGAGAACAAGUGAGAUACAUCCUCUCAUAUCACUUGGGGUGAUGAAUCUUGUCUUGACCAAUCAUUCACCUUCGCAUGCUUCAUGGCAUACCCAAAAACACCCUGUUUAGGCAUCUGGUCACUUCCAAACUUAUAGGGGUGAAAUCAAAGUAUGUCAUUCCCCAUACAAGAUGACUUGGUGUCUCAAGUUUAAGGACUAGUUGCACGACUGUCACAUGGGAACAUAUUCCAUAUACACUUUAGUAAAAUACCAAAUGGAGUUCUAAUAGCAGGUCAUGUUCAGUGAACUUGUUCUUUAACAAGCACCCACAUGUUAUCCUCAAGUAUCUCAUAUACUUUAAUCUAUUAGAUCAAUUUCUUACUUCCCAAGUAAAGAGGCUUAACAUGUACCGGUCUUUGAGCAUUGUCAAUGCCCUGUCUUGACAAUACAAUGACCAGAAACAAUUUUAGGAACAUGGCUUUGAUGCACAGUGAUCUCAUAAUUGUAACAACUUUACAAUUCUCUUGCAAGGCUUUUAUGUUCCAUGGGCUUCAUCCAAUUAGUACUUAAUAACUCAUUUUUUUUGCACUAACAUGAAGGAAAACCUCUAUCACAUAUAAUUAUGCGAUUAAAUAUGUAUUAAAUGACAAUAUAGAUUCCCUGACCAAUCUAAUUGGCUUAAGGGCAUAUACUAACACGACAUCAAUUGUAGAUUUGAUUAGACUGAUCAACCCAUUACAGAAUGUCCAAACUUUAAGCCAUUGAGGAAGCACAUGGUGUGGACAUCUUCUAAGCAAAUCUUUAAAUUGUUCCCAAACCUUAUAUAAGGAUUCACCAUCAAAUUGUAUGAAGGAAGUUAUAUCAUUCCUCAAUUUUGUAAUCUUUGCAAAUGGAAAGAAUUUUGCUAAGAAAUUUUGAGCUAAGUUAUCCCAUGUAAUAAUAGAUCUAGUUGGCAAUGAAUUUAGCCAACUCUUUGCUUUAUCCCUCAAUGAAAAAGGAAAUAGUCUAAGUCUAAUAGCAUCAUCGGUCACCCAAUUAUAUUUGAAAGUGUCACAAAUUUUCAAAAAAUUAACCAAAUGGGAAUUAGGAUCAUCACUAGGUAACCCACCAAACUGAACAAAAGAUUAAAUCAUUUGAAUGUAAGUAGGCUUGAUCUCAAAAUUGUUUGCAUUGAUAGGAGGUCUUCUAAUGCUUUGGUGCAAGCCUUGUAAAAAAAGAAUAACAUAAUAUCGCAGAGUUUUGUUCUCUUCAAGCGUCUGAUUGAUAGCAUUGUUACCAUGAUUAUUAUUAUUAUCUUUAGUUAUUGUUUGAUUUAGAGUUUGAACUUGCAAAUUUUCCUUUCGAAGUUUUCUAAAAGUUUUUUCUAUCUCUGGAUCAAAAGGAAUAAGUUUCAAGUUCCUCAUUUGCAUACAACAAUCAAAGAUGCUUGAAAAACAAGAAAAUAAACAAAUAAAAUAAGGUUUGAAUUAAGACUAAAGUUGCUUGGUAUUAAUAUUAGUAAAAAUUCUAGAAAACAACUUUCCAGCAACGACACCAAAAACUUGUUAGUUAAAAUUCUACCUACGCAAGCACACAUAUCAAACAUAUAGUAUAUUAGUAAGCAAAGUAUUGAUCCCUUAGAGAAUUGUUCUAAAAAUUUACUAAGUACUAAAAUUAAAACAAGUUAGUUUUAUUCAAAUAAUCAAAACUUGGAUAAUUAAAUUAACAAAAAAUUAAUCAACAAAAACUAAACUAAUAUACACUAAUUAAAAAUCAAAACAAAAAGAUAAUUAAAUAAAAAUCAAAUUGGAUAAGCCUAGGAUUGCAAUGUCGCUCACACUUCAUCUAAAUCUUACUUCUCUCUCUUAACUUAUUCCAAUAAGUUGAAUUGCUAACCUAGAGACCUCAAUUAUUUAUAAUGCUCUUCCAAGUCUCUUAUAAAAAUAUCUACUUUAACCAAAACACUAUGUUCCUAUGUGAAUUGAAAUUGAAAUAGACUCAUUAAGUUCAAGUUCUAAUACUAGCUACAUAUGGCAUAUAGAUAUGUUCCUAUCUUAUAUACAAAUUAAUUUAUUCAUCUAAGCAAACAAAUAUGAUUACAUGCUUUUUCAAUUUUAGUCUACACUAAACUCCCUUUCCCAAGUUUGUUUAGGCUUAUAAAUCAAUUUAAUUGGUGGCUAAACAAUUAAAAACAUUAAGAACAAAUUGGAAUAAACAAUUCUAUCCCGUUGAAAAAUAAGCAAGAAAUAGAUUAAAAAUUUAAACUACAUGUAAGUUCAAUUGCAAUCCUAGAAAAAGAAUUUUUUUUAAAGCUGAAAGUUCUUGUAGGGCCCAACUAUCCUGUCAAAAUUUUAUUAAUAAUUAAAAUUGAAUAGUACAUUAGAGAGGGGGACCUAAAUUGUACCUUUAGAGUCAUAUGAGAAAGGAGAGAAAGAAUUCCUAUUAUAGGAAUUACUAUCUUUGCAAUUAUUUUAAAUGCAUAAGAUAAGUAAUUUACCUGUAUAUUAGAGUCUAAGAUUAAAUCAUACAAAAUUAGAAUGAGGAGUAGUACUCCUUUAUAUUUAUUUAAAUCUAACAUAAGGAAGAGUAAUUUUUUCUAAAUUUAAAAUUCUAAGCAACUUCCCUUGAGCUUCAGAGAAAACUUUCAGAUUUCGCUGUUGAUGACUAAGAUUAGCUAAAAGAUCUGCAGCUUAGUUACCUUUUCGGUGUAUAUUAGAGAAGUGAGUUAAGCAUUUUUUGAUAGAAGCUAAUAAAUACCGACUACCAUGUGAACCGCGGUAUCCCUUCUUCAGCAUAUGAAUGACAACCAUAACAUUUAACUUAACCCAGAUCUUCGAAAUAUUAUACUUUCUGCAUAAAACAAGACCUCUAUAUAAGGCUAGUAGUUCCGCAUGUACAGAAUUAUUGGAUCCAAAGUUUUCUAAGAAGCCAAAUAUUAGUGAACUUGUGUGGUCUCACAAAAUUUUACCUUCUAUAGCAUUCUAAAAAUUGUUUUUAGAACUACCAUCAACAUUCAAUUUAAACCCACUUGUCAAUGGUUUAUGCCAAGAUAAUAUUUUGGGUGGUAAGGCUAUGUCCCUUUGGAAUUUUAAUCCCAACACUUGAGCUAUCUGAAUAUCACCUUUCUAUUGUCACUUUUUCAAUUGCCUCCCAUGAAACAACUAGUGUAUAAGUUUCAAAAUACACCACACCACUCUAUUAGGAUACAUGCCCAGAUUUCUAUGUUUUGCAUCAUUACGUUCCAUCCAUAGGAACCAAAAAAUGAAUAAAGGCGAUAAGGUGUGAAUGUGUCCCUGCUUAGUCUAAUCACCAGAAUAUACCCAUGCCCAGAUAAUUUGAAUAAUAGUCUGUGGAUUCAUAACAUUGAUUUGAAAGAAUUUUGCAAAAAAAUUCAAAACCUAUUUAGCCAUGGGGCCAUCCCACAUGAUAUGUAGAAGGGAUUCCUCUGAGUUGCAGCAAUUACAUUUAGAAGUUAGUUGGAAUCCUUUUGUUUUCAUUCUCAUCUCCACAGGAAUCCAAUUAUUUAGUAAUCGCCAUAAAAAGAAAGAAGUUGUGAGAGGAAUACUCUUAUGCCAAAUAAAAUUAAACAUAGGAUUUGUUGUUUGUCGUUUCCAAAUUAAAUCCCAUGAGCUCUUAGUGGUAUAAUUACCAUUGAAAGUAAGUACCCAAUAAGCGAUAUCUUCAUUAGAUGUGUCAAUAGGAAUUUUUAGAAUAUCAGCAAUUACCUCAUUUGGUAGAACAUGUUUCAAUUUGUCUGCAUCCCAUUCACCAGUAUCAAAAUAAUAGCAAACUUGUGUCAUUGAUGAACGAGAAACAGGGAAAAGAUUUGCUAGUGGUUCAUUGCCCAUCCAGCAAUCAUGCUAAAAAAACAAUUUGCCUCCAUCAAUUCGCCACCUCAUAUGUUCUUUUGUAAUCGAGCAGCUAGUAAUCAUACGUUUCUAAGUCUGUGAAUCAUAAAUUUUUGGUUAGACAUACUUGGGAAGUCGACCAACACAAUAGUUUGUCUUCAAAAAUUAUGUCCACAAGCUGUUACAUGUUUGAAAAUGCCACCAUAAUUUAAUACUGAAGGCCUUUAAAACAUCCCCUAGGCCUCUGAUAUCUAAACCACCUUCAAAAGAUAAGAAAGUUAUUUUAUGCCAUGAAGCCCUGUAAAUCCGUCUAGCAUUAGCCGAACCCCCCCACAAGAAAUUGUUAAAUAAUCUCUCAAUUUUAUCAAUAACACAAACAAGAGGCUUAAGAACUUGAAGUAAAUAGAUAGGCAUUGAAAACAAUACACUUCUCAAUACAGUUAGCCAGCCACCUGAGGAAAGAAUCUUAUUCUCCCAUCCUAUGAUUCAAUUCUGUAUUUUAGUUACAAGAUCAUUAAAUAAUAGUACCUUUCUUGGGCCUUUGUAUAGAGGUGCCCCAAAAUAUUUGAUAGGUAGGCACUUAUAAGUGAAGCUUGUAGCUUGAGAUAUAAUUUGCCUUCUAGUGUUUGCUAUAUUCUAAUGAGUUAUAAAGCAAUUCUUUUGAUGGUUAACACGUUGCCUAGAGACUUGCUCUUAUUCUUGAAAAAAAUAAAAGAAUUUUCUACAAGGUCGAUUUACUACCAUUAGUAAAUAUAAAGACAUCAUCUGGAAAUGUCGGGUGGCUUACAGUCGUUGGACAACUAGAGAAAUAGUGAAUAGAGCAGUAUAUGGCAUAUAGGCAAUUUAAAUGUCGAGACAAAUACUUUGCUGCUAAAACAAAUAGUUAAGGAGAAAUUGAGUCACUUUGGUGUAAUCCCCAUCGUGAUUUAAAAUAACCCACUGACUUGCCAUUGAUUAACAAAGAGAACCAUCAAUUCAAAAUGCCUUGUUGAAUCGUAUCUAUCCACUGUAGGCUGAACCCAAAUUGUUGCAACACUCUAUAUAAAACUUUCCAAUCUAGCCAAUCGUAAGCUUUCAUCAUGUCUAGCUUAAGAACAACAUUUCCAUUUCUUGCUUUUUGAUCAAUUUUCCAUAUUAAUACCUAUGCUAAUAAGAUAUUAUCACUGAUAUGCUUGCCACUCACAAAACCACUUUGAUUGUCAGUAAUAAUAAUAGUUAGAAUUUUAGCCAGACAAUUAGCCAAUAGUUUAGUGAUGAUCUUAUUUAAAAUGUUCAUAAACUAAUUGGUCUAAAUUCACUCCAUUGUGAUUAAUCACUCUUCUUGGGCAAAAGCAUUAGAGUGGUGGACGUGAUCCCCCUUGGAAAAGUUGCUCCAUGAAAGAAAUUGAUCACUACUUGAAAAAAAUCUUCAGCUAUAAUAUCCCAACAUUGCUAGUAGAAAAAUGAAGAGAAUCCAUUUGGGCCAGUGACACUAUCUUUUUCAAUAUCAAGCAUUGUUAGAGUCAGAUACAAUAGUAAGAGUUAAAGAAUCAUAAAACUUGGUCAAAUCACCAGGUUCCGUUUUCAUAAGGGAGGAAAAAAAUUGAACUGCUGAAGUUUGUAUUAGAUCUGGAUCUUUCAACCAAAAACCAUCCUAGUUUUGGAUUUGGAAAACAAAGUUCUUCGGUUUUUUUAUCUAUAUUCUAAUGUGAAAAAACUUGGUAUUCCUAUCCCCUUCUACUAGCCAUUUAAUACCAGAUUUUUUUUGCUAGAAAGCUUCCUGCACCCUUAGACAAUGGUUCAGCUUUGCAUAGGAAUGAUUCAAAAUCUCCCUAUUCUCUAUAGAUUGUUGUUGCUGGAAUAAAAGUUUACUAGUUUUAGCUUGCUUUUUUACCUCCUUCAAGUUGCUAAAAAUAUCACCAAAUAUUGUCUUAUUCCACCAUUUAUGAUUUUGUUUCAACUUCAAUUAUUUUCCCCAAAAAACCUUCAAAUCCCGUGCCUUGUAUAGGAAGCUUCUAAUUGUUUUCCACAAAAUUUUUUAAUGCAUGGUGCUGAACCCAAGCAUGCAAGAACCUAAAGGAUGAAGGACCUUGUUGAGAGGUUGUAGAACAAGAGAUUAGUAGGGGGCAAUGAUUUGACCUACCUUUAUUUAGAUGUUGUACUCUUAUGGUGGAAAAAACUGCUACCCAUUGAUGGUUGUAUACUACUUGGUCUAACCUUUGAAAUAUCUGGGAAUUUGUCCAUAUAAAAAAGUUGCCUUCAAACCCACCAUCCAUUAAACAACAGUUUAAUAAUGUCGUGGCAAAGUCCUCCAUAGAUCCACCAUGCGAAGCUGCCCUAUAAAGCCGUUCCUCCCUUUCCAAAAUAAUAUUGAAAUCCCCUCCCACUGACCAAGGAUCAUUGAUAUCUGCAGACAAGCCUUUCAAAUAGUCCCAUAGCAUAUGUCUUUCCAACCUAGUGCAUAUAACGUAAACAAAAGAAGCUAAGACUGGUGAUGCCAACCAUGGUAAAGCGAAUCAAAUAUGCAAGCAUUGAAAAUGAUCAAAUAAAAUAUUACAAUUAACAUAAUGAGUCCAAAAAGGCCAUAUUUUGUUAGAGUUGUUGGAAAUAAGUUUUUCAAACCCUAAUUUCUUUCUAUAACAUUCAAUUUUAGCAACUUCCGCCAUAAGUUCUGGGACAACCAAAAUUUUUAUUUUAUACUGAUAACUAUAUUAUAUAAAGUUAUUUUGACACAUUUUAAGGGCUUAAGUAGUUAGAUCUUUGAGAUUUUAGGUUUGAAUUGUAGCAUUUUAGGUGUUUUUCUAGUUGAAGUUUGAUUACAUGUUGAGUAGUUAAUUUAAGUUAUUAAAUGUUGAAUGAAAUCAUAAUCCUAGACUCUUAAUCCACUGCUUUUCAAUUAAAUUUAGAGUCCUCUCCUUAGUCUAGUUUAGUUAAGUAAAUUUUAUCUUUAAUUAAUUUUCAUAAAUUUGAUUUACUUGGAUAAAAGUAGGAUGCAUUAAAUUUAGUAUUUAGCAAAAUUUUAGAUACAAUCCUUUUGGGAGAUGAUACUUACUUUUUCAAUAUUGCUUGUGCGACACAUGCACUUUCGUAUGAAAACCAGCAACAGUUACAUGCCAUGCCAAAAAUUCUAAAGAUGUUAAACGCCAUGCUUGAAAUUUCUAAGAUGCUACACGCCAUAUUCAUGCACUUAGGGAAAUCCCCAGAGUUUUUACAUGCCAUAUGCCUAUUUUGUCUCGAUAUGUUACACGCCAUGCUAACAACAUUCAACUCAACUAGGCAUGCUGUAUAACAUCCUUAGGGAUUUCUACAUCUUUAAACAACACCAAAUGCCAUUUAAUAAUAUAAUCAAUGAAUAUGGCUACCAUCACAACAAAAACCACUCUAAAAACACAUAAUAUUAUCAACAAGUUUAAACUAAAAGCAAGCAUUUAAACCCUAUUGACACAAAAAAUAGAAUUCAAAACUCAAAACUCACUCCAUUUAACUAUAUUAUCAAGUAAUAUGACAUUCAAAAAACAAAACCUACUAAAAAACACAACAAAAAAAUUCAACAUUGACUAACUUACUUUGCUUUGAACUUGUUCGAACACUUUGCUAGCUUUUGAGUUUAGGGUAGAAUCAACUGAUGUAAAUGCUCAAAUGCUCUAUCUCGAUCAAAAAUGUAAAACCUAAAGUUGUUAGAUGCGAUUUAGAAAUGAAGCAAAUGAUGCUCUGCUCAAAUGAUCUCAAACGGUUUUUCUCUUCAAAUGGGCCGUGUGCUUGCAUACAAGGUAUUUAUUUUCAAAUUACUCUUAUGCUUGAAUAUGAGGAGUCUAUUUUCAAAUGGCACAUGUACUUCAAUAUGAGUAAGUUUCAUUAAGGGUACUUUGGUUCUAAAAUCUUUUUCUCUUAGCUAAAAACAAUUAAAGUUAUAGGGAAGGCUAUUUUCAAAAACACCUUAUCUUUGCUAGCUAUUUUAUAAUUUCGGCCUGUAUAAUAUUAUGAGAAGGGUUAUAAUGUUUUAAAAGAUUUGAAAACUCUGCCUCAAUAGUUGCAAGGUUCAAAACUUGAUUAAGCUACAAUGUUAAUCAUUCCUUUUUGAAGAUGCAAAUUUUCUCAAUAUCUCUCCCCUUUUUUGUUAUAUCACAAAGAAAGAUAGAAAUACAAUAAGCUCAAUUUGCAAAACACAAUAAGCACGAUAAGGAUCAUACUAAUUGUUAAAAAUUCAAUAAACUUAACAAUCAACAAGCCAAUUUUGAAAGAUAUGAUUACUAUAAGUGUGAAAUCCCACCUUGAGUAAAAUGAUAAGUUAGAAAAUCCUUAAAUGAGCAUUUGGAUUAUAUAUUUUGAACAUCAAACUUAGUUUUAACCUUCAAAACAAUCCAUUGACACUUUUGGUGGUCUGUCACUUAGGAAGUAGAAAUUUUUUUAAGUUUGGAAGUGUUCAAAAUAUGUGAUUUUUAUAGAACAAUCUUUUGGAAAUAAAAAAUUAGAAGUAAUGAUUACCUUGAUUUUUAGAUGACCAUAAAUGAUUUUUUCAUAAUUUUUGAAGCACAUUGGCUAUGGUAAAUGGGAACCGCAAAUUUAAUUGUAGUUGAACUUUUUCGAUUUUGUUCUUGAAACCAAAAUUUAGAUUUUGAUUCUUAUGAAUUUUGAUUUUUUUUGUAUCAAAUGGGGGGUUGUUUUCUUAUUUACAUUAAAUAUCUUAAGUAAAUAGGGAGUAAAAAGAAAAGAGAACAUUUACUGAAACGAUAGUUAAUGUAAAUAAGCUAGUUAGGUUGUAUGGGCAAUUUAUCUCAGAAAAAUGUAUUCUGUCUCAAAUGUAUCGAUACAUUUAGCUUAUAAAGGGUUUCUGAUGAACAUGUAUAGAUACAUGUUCAUAAUGUAUCGAUACGUUUUCUCCAUACCCAAAUGUAUUGAUACAUGGGCCAAUGUAUCGAUACAUUUUGUCUAUUUCAAAAUAAUAAAAGGGGUAAAAAUGUAUUUUUACACUUUAGCUUAUAAAUAUAUCACAUUUUUUUAUGAUUGGCAACCCUCAACUGCAUUUGCAAGGUAAUACACCUGUUCAUAAGCUCUUCCAACUCAUUUUUAACUCAAAUCUUCAUUUUUGAUGAUUACAUGAUGUAGUUUUGAGUUGUUAUGAAGAAAGUGACAUUUUUAAGCUUUGGAAACUUUAAAUCUCGAUUUCUAGUUUCUGAAAAUAUGGUUUUGUUGCCCAGAUUUGCUUUUGGUGAUUAAAUCUUAAAGGCUUUGUGAUUUCUUUAAGCAUCUAAGCUCACCUAAGGUAAAGAUGGAAGAUUUAUGGGUUUCUAAGCAUAGGUUUUAGCUAGAAAAUUAGUUUAGCUAAAAUCGAGUAGUUUCAAAAAUACCUAGAAUGAUUAUUAUGAAAUCUUUAUUCUAGGAUAUGAUUGUUAUGAUUGUUGUAUGAUAGGAACACUUGAAAACUCCAUGAAUAACGUUGAAACAGAAUUGUGAUUGAAGCUAGGAAUUGACUCUCCAAUUAGGUGAGUGAAUACACCUUUUCAAGUUUUUUAAUAUGUAAAGUUAGCAUGAUUUUUGUGGAAAUGGUUGUUUAAGCAUGUUUGAAACUUACUUCCAUAAAUGGUUUAUUAAAAGAUUUGAACUACAAGGUUUCAUGAAGUUUUGAAGGAAAGAUUCAAAUGACUUGGUUUGAUAAGGAUUAUGAUGUGCGACACAAUGAUUUUCAAAUUGUUUACGAAUCUACUAUGUAUGUAAAUAUGCUACUACGAAUCUACUAUGUAUGUAAAUAUGCUACUAUGUACUAGUUUUCAACGAGGGGGGACAAGCCCUUUUAUGUUUGUAGUCUACUCAAUUACUCCGAACUUCGGGCUAAUGUGGAUACGAGAUAUUUCUAGGGUUAAUGAAUGAAUGUUAUUAUGCAAAUGUUACAUAUGAUGUAGCAUGAUAAGAUUGUUGGAUGCAUGAGUUCCAUUUUUGAGAUUGUAACAUGUAUGCCAUGGAUGCAUGUGUUAAUGUCACGACCCAAAUUCUGAGCCAUGAUCGGUGUAUGGGCCUAAUAGACAUAGUCCACUAAGCCCAAGCAAGCCUAUUAAUCUGACAUGUUCAUCAUUCCAUCAUAAACUACUAAGUCACAUUUCAUAACUUAGGAUCAAAGUAAUAUUAAACAAUGCCAACUCAUACUGGCAUACCAAUUAAGUGUACAUUGCCUACAAUAUGUAUCUUAAUAAUUUACAUCAAGUUUGUCUAUACAUCUCAAAAAGAAGACUCGAUUUCUAGCGGAGAGACUCGAACGAAUGUACAGCUACUAAAUGCUGAGACACUUACCAAAAGAUGGAUAUAAGUCUACAAGGACACCUUGUCCUAGUUAUCGGCUACCUCGUGAUCUGAAAGCAUGAAGUUGAAAAUGGUGAGUAUAAACCCAAUGAGUGAACAAGGAAGGGAACAAGCAACAAUAAAGGAGAAUUUAAAAUCAUGAUGCACUUGUUUCAAAAUAAUGCAAUUUAGUUCCAUUCAUAUUAAAAACCCCUCAUCAAGCCCUUAAAUGAUUAAUCAUUUGAAAAUCAUGAACCCAUACAUAACGAACCAUUUGAAGAAUGAAAGCUUCAAUAUUACGCAAGCAAGUCAAAUACGACAACGAAUCUUCGCUGCAGCGACGUUGGGAUUAAGUUAUUAGCCGAACGAGGGUUUCUCAACUGGCCGAGGGUUUCUCACUAAACCUCCUCAUUUUAAACUUAACUCAUUUAGUACUUAAUGUUGGAAGUCCAUGCUCAGAUAUGGUAGCAAAGAAGUUAAAAAUAGGGUAGCAAUUGGACAAGAUAGGAAACAAAACAGAAAGUUUUUCGCUACAGCGAGAUUGAAUCUCACUGCAGCAAAAUUGUAACCCAGAAAUAGAAAGUUUCUCGCUGCAGCGAGUUUUCAGCCAAUCUACCCCUCCAAACUCGAGAGUUUCUCGCUACAGUGAAAAUGAUUGUCGCUGCAGCGAGAAAUAGAGCACCAAUGAAAAAUUUACCCUUCUUCCCAAAGAAAAACCACCCUACUGAAAUGUCCAAACCAACAUGAAACGCAUAACAGAUUUCCAAAGUUUAACAUGUCAAGUUUCACAUGCAUUACAACCAUAUACCAUUACUCAUUAAUUUCCUAUAACACACAUAUUUACAUAUGUAUAUGUAUACGUAUACCCAUCAUCAUCAUGCACACCAUCCCAUCAUCAUCAUACACACCAUCACAUCAUCAUCAUCACCAGCUCAUGCGCACUCUCUACUCGCACAUGGUGGGUCAUCACCAGGUUAUGCGCACUCCCUACUCGCACAUAACCGGGUCAUCCUCGGCUUAUGCACACUCCCUACUCGCACAUAGCCGGGUCACUAUAAUUACACAACAUUAUAUUCAAACAUAUAUGUAUAUCAACAUAAUGUAGUAUCAUAGGGAUCUAUGAUAACCACAUGUCAUAACAUAAAAUUGAUUUAUCAAAGGCUUGUUCCCAAGGCACUUGUUUUAACAAAAGUUGUGUAGAAUCAUUCAAAUACUUUGUACAAAACGGUCAUAUUCUCAAAAUGAUUUUGAUAGGCAAUCCACUCACCGGUAUAUUGUUGAGCCUUUAGAUAACUCCAAUUCCCCUAAUUGUCCAAAUGGGAUAAUGAGGCUUCCUUGAAACCUACCAUCACAUUAACAUCACCAUUAUGUUAAUUCACAUACUAUAAACCCUAAAAGCUAUCUCUUAGCUAGCCUUCAAUUGCCACUUUAAAUGGCUAUCUAUGUUCACUAUCUAAAUCACUAUAAAAUGAAUGAACAUCCUCAACAAUAAAAUAGCUCAUAAUCUAAAUUACUAGCCAUUAUCCACAGCUAAAAACCAAGCUUAGUGCAUCACUCACUUUAGGGUUCCUUUGUAGUUGAAUUCUCUUCCAAUAGCUUCAACAGAAAUGUGGUAAUUCUCUCUUUCUCUCUCUAGAACGCCCAACUAGUGAGAAAAAGUAUGAAAAUAAGAUUUUUCAAGGGUUUUAAGGAGAGAGAGUGGAAUAAUACAAGGGUUCUAGUCAUAAGGGCACAAAAGUAUGAAAACUAGAGCUAGAGAGAGAAAAUCAUGCAAGCUCCAUAUCAAGCUUCCAUGGAGGUUGGAAAUAAUGUGAGAUGGAAGAAGAAGACAAGCUGCUAGAAAAUGGGAGAAGAAGCUUCUGGAAGAAAGAUAUUUAUAGCCAAUCUUAUCCAUUCCUUUGAAAUUACCAAAUUGCCUAUCCACCAAUUAACUUACUCUCCUCCAACCCUUUAUGAAAUCUUUUUACUCCUUUGACACUGGGACAAGGUCCAUAAUAGUCUAGACAUACUCGGGUUCAUUAAAACUUAAAAUUUUAACUUGAGGUGAAAAAUGACCAUUUUGCCCCUAUCGUGAAAAUAAUCAAAAUUUUUGUUUCUUUUUUAUUUUACCUUUAAUUUCAUCAUCCAUUUAUGCCUUAGGCCUACUUAGGCCAUAAUAUUGUUUAAAAUCUUACUUUUGUGGGCUUACUAAGGAAAUGACGAAAUUACCCCUGAUCAGGGAUAUCGCAUAUACUUCUCUUUACGAGUCUAUAAAAGUCAAGGUCUCACAGUUAAGCAUAUCAUAUACAUUAUGGGCUAAGCAUGUAAGUGAUUUAUGAGGUUAUGAAAUGUAUGCCAUGAGAUGUAUGUGUUGAGAUAGUCAUAUACACUAUAGGCAAAGCAUGCAAGUGAUUUAUGAGGUUAUGAAAUGUAUGCCAUGAGAUGUAUGUGUUAAGAUAGUCAUAUAUACUAUGGGCUAAGCAUUUAAGUGAUUUAUGAGGUUAUGAAAUGUAUGCCAUGAGAUGUAUGUGUUAAGAUAGUCAUAUACAUUGUUGGCUAAGUAUGAUGAUAGUUUAUGGAAAUGUUAUAUAUUCAUGAUGCAAGCUAAGGAUGAAAAUGAUCCUAAGCUAAAGAGAUCUUAUGAUGAUAGUGGGUGAGGUUGAUGUGCUGCUCAUGCAGCUUUGAUGAUUGUUCAUGCGAGGUGAACCAGAUGGUAGUCAGGACUUUGUCCACUACUCGCCUGAGUGGGAUGGGACCACUCAAUAGAUCGUGGAUGAGGUCGAUGUGCCAUUUACGAGAGCACACUAGUAACCCAAAAUAAUGGGUGUUAAACCAUUAUUCACUGGAAUUGGGUGGACGCACUCAUAGUUAGAAUGUUGUGACGAAUAAGAUUAAUGGGUUAGAGAAAUGAAUGAAUGAGUAUUGCCUCAUGAUUUAUGCUUAAAAGCAUAGUUUAUGAUUAUGUGAGUAUUGAUGAUGUUAUUCACACUAUACUGUGGUGAUUUUAUCUUAGUUAGAUAGAACUUUAGCCUAGGGAAUGAUCCUUGAAUGCUAUAAAGACUUAUGAAUGGUUUAGAUUCAGGAAAAUCCCUAGAAAUUAGAUUAUGUGGGAAAAGUAUCGAUACAUAUGAAGUAUGUACAGAUACAUUUUCAAUAGAAUGCCACAAGAAAUAUUCUGCGUGAAAUGUAUCGAUACCUUUCUAAAGGUAUCGAUAGACUCCUUGCAUAUAUCUAUACAUUCUAGAAUCUAUUGAUUGUAUUGUUGCAGAAAUGGUUUUUCAACUGAUUUAAAGAGGUUUUUAAGAUUAUAUGGUUUUUAAUGAUUUAUGCAAAGAUGUUUUCCAUGCAAUGUUAUUUAAAGGAUGAUUAAAUGCUAUGUUUCAUGAUCAUUAUGGAAAUGAUGUUAAAUUUAUGAAUUAUAUGUAUUUAUAAUUGCAUGGUUAUGAAAAACUUUUAUUCCCCAGCUUGUCCUCUUCCCUGUAUGCACUCAUGGAGUCUUUGUGACUCACACAUUAUUUUCCUUUACUAUUUUUGAUGCAGAUCAGUGAUAGCUUUUUUGCUAGCAGCCAAUGUCAUGGAGAUGUGAUAUGUUCAUUUCUCAUUGGUAGGUGUCUAGCAGCCUCUCGAUGCCUAACGAGUCAGGUCAUGUUCAACUGACGAGACAGUCUAUGUUUUGUUUGCAAACUAUGAACAUGUUUUUUUUAUGGAUUAUUAGUAUGUUAUAAUAAUGAAGCUAAAUGUUUCGGCAUAUUACAUUAUGAAUGUUAUGUUAAAUGUGUAAAAUAUCUCAAGAGCUCGUAUGGACACUCGAGGUUAUUGAGACAUGUAAAUGUUAUGGUGCACUAGAAAUGUGGCACUCAGAUGAUAUAUGAAAUGUUG